rnacentral:rRNA from 1 species
AAGAAUCUGCCCUCCACUUUGGGAUAACACCGGGUAAACCGGUGCUAAUACCGAAUAUUGAAACAUAAGUGGCAUCACUGAGUUUUGAAAGAAUUUCGGUGGAGGAUGACUUCGCGGCCUAUCAGCUAGUUGGUGAGGUAAUGGCUCACCAAGGCAACGACGGGUGGCCGGCCUGAGAGGGCGACCGGCCACACUGGGACUGAGACACGGCCCAGACUCCUACGGGAGGUAGCAGUGGGGAAUAUUGGGCAAUGGAGGAAACUCUGACCCAGCGACGCCGCGUGCGGGAUGAAGGCCUUC